GAUGAACGCUGGCGGCGUGCCUAAUACAUGCAAGUCGAGCGAAUGGAUUAAGAGCUUGCUCUUAUGAAGUUAGCGGCGGACGGGUGAGUAACACGUGGGUAACCUGCCCAUAAGACUGGGAUAACUCCGGGAAACCGGGGCUAAUACCGGAUAACAUUUUGAACCGCAUGGUUCGAAAUUGAAAGGCGGCUUCGUCUGUCACUUAUGGAUGGACCCGCGUCGCAUUAGCUAGUUGGUGAGGUAACGGCUCACCAAGGCAACGAUGCGUAGCCGACCUGAGAGGGUGGUCGGCCACAAUGGGACUGAGACACGGCCCAGACUACUACGGGAGGCAGCAGUAGGGAAUCUUCCGCAAUGGACGAAAGUCUGACGGAGCAACGCCGCGUGAGUGAUGAAGGCUUUCGGGUCGUAAAACUCUGUUGUUAGGGAAGAACAAGUGCUAGUUGAAUAAGCUGGCACCUUGACGGUACCUAACCAGAAAGCCACGGCUAACUACGUGCCAGCAGCCGCCGUAA
rnacentral:rRNA from 1 species